AGUGAACGCUGGCGGCAUGCCUAACACAUGCAAGUCGAACGGCAGCACAGUAAGAGCUUGCUCUUACGGGUGGCGAGUGGCGGAUGGGUAAGGCAUACAUCGGAAUCUUCUUUUUCGUGGGGGAUAACGUAGGGAAACUUACGCUAAUACCGCAUACUACCUACGGUUGAAAGCAGGGGAUCUUCGCACUUUUCGCGAUAGAACUAGCCGAUGCCGCAUUAGCUAGUUGGCGGGGUAAAGGCCCACCAAGGCGACGAUCCGUAGCUGGUCUGAGAGGAUGAUCUGCCACACUGGAACUGAGACACGGUCCAGACUCCUACGGGAGGCAGCAUUGGGGAAUCUUGGACAAUGGGCGAAAGCCUGAUCCAGCGAUACCGCGUGGGUGAAGAAGGCCUUCGGGUUGUAAAGCCCUUUUGUUGGGAAAGAAAAGAAGCAGAUUAAUAUCCCGAUAUCCUGACGGUACCUAAACAGUAAGCCCCGGCUAACUUCGUG
rnacentral:rRNA from 1 species